GGCGGGGCCUGCCUCUUCCUCGUUCUGAGCGGUUGCCUAGGCGGCGGCGGCGAAGAGCUUAAGACAAACCUCUUGGCUUUCCUGCGCUGCGCCACCUCCUGCAGCGCCUCCGCCGCCUCCUCUGCCUCUCCGUGGGCUUCCUCCUUCUCAGACUGCCGUCAGCCGCACGUCAGCCGGUUCCGUGAUGGCGACUCGCAGCCCUAGCGUCGUGAUUAGUGAUGAUGAACCAGGGUAUGACCUGGAUUUGUUUUGCAUACCUAAUCAUUAUGCUGAAGAUUUGGAAAAGGUGUUUAUUCCUCAUGGACUAAUUAUGGACAGGACUGAAAGACUUGCUCGAGAUGUGAUGAAGGAGAUGGGAGGCCAUCACAUUGUAGCCCUCUGUGUGCUCAAGGGGGGCUAUAAAUUUUUUGCUGACCUGUUGGAUUACAUUAAAGCACUGAAUAGAAAUAGUGAUAGAUCCAUUCCUAUGACUGUAGAUUUUAUCAGACUGAAGAGCUACUGUAAUGACCAGUCAACAGGGGACAUAAAAGUAAUUGGUGGAGAUGAUCUCUCAACUUUAACUGGAAAGAAUGUCUUGAUUGUUGAAGAUAUAAUUGACACUGGCAAAACAAUGCAAACUUUGCUGUCCUUGGUCAAGCAGUAUAAUCCAAAGAUGGUUAAGGUUGCAAGCUUGCUGGUGAAAAGAACCUCUAGAAGUGUUGGAUAUCGACCUGACUUUGUUGGAUUUGAAAUUCCAGACAAAUUUGUUGUUGGAUAUGCCCUUGACUAUAAUGAAUACUUCAGGGACUUGAAUUACUACGGAUACUCAGGGGAGCUCUACCAUUGAGUUCCAUCCUCAGCUGAUUUUAUUUCAAGAUUAUCUUGAUAGUUGCCCAGUCUGGCCUCCAACUUGCAAUUCUCCUGCCUCAGUUUCUGAGUUGCUAGAAUUACAGGGUUUUGCUAAAUUGCCAAGGCUGGUCUUGAACUUGCCAUCCUUCUGCCUCAGCUUCCCAAGUUACCGGAAUUACAGAAAGCACACCUGAAAAAAAUCAUAUUCUCUGAGCAAAUGCCUGGACACUGGACACUGGAAAGAGUUAAAAGAAGGUUCAGAAGAAGGAAGCACUUGGACUGGGUCAUAAAAGUAAGUAGAUUGGGGCAGGGAGACAGCAGCCUUCCCCUCAGCUAACAAGUUACUGUCAGUGGUACAUGGACUCCAUGUGCAGAUAGGUGUAGGUGUGUGUGUGUGUGUGUGUGUGUGUGUGUGUGUUGGGGGGCGGGAAUCCAGUGCUGAGUGGGCCCCAAAGCCCAGUGUCAGUCCAGGGCACUGGCAAAGGACAAGAAAAUGGAACAAAUCAGGGAAGGCUGGAACAAAUGACCCACUGAGGGGAGGGAGGGCAGGAGCUGGGCCUGGAACACUUCCUGAGAGCUUCUUUUCCUUCAGAUACCUUGAUUCAUGAGAAUAUUUUUUUUUAAUUGAGCAAAUCAGAAUCCCCACCACCACCACAUUUCAACCCUUCAGUAGUCCUUCCAACCUGGCUCAGCCUCAAAUCUAGAGCAUGUGAUUCCUCUGCUCAAAAGUUUUUCAGACUCCUGUUGCUUGUAAUAGUCUCUAAGCUAGCAUGUUAAGUCUUCCCUGAUCUGGCAGGCAGCAUUGUUUCAGUUGCAAGUGAUAGAAGCAUGGCCCAAUCUAGCACCUGAACCCAGGACAGCAGGGUCUGCAAAUACCUCUUUCAUUCACCACUCUAUUUCCAGGUCCAGCAAUGUUGCUUGGCACUUAGAAUACUUUAGUUAAGUAUUUGUGGAAUAACUAAAUAAAAUGGCUUAAAAUUUAAAAAGGAAAACAUGUGCUCUGGUAACAGAGGGAAGGAAGAGGAGCUGGACACAGAACAGUGUGGGUCCAGGGACACAAACAACAUCAUCCUGUGUUUCUGUCUCUGUCCCUCUCCUGGUAUGGGUCCUCCCAUAGUGGACAUGGUAGAACAGGGUAAGGGAGGGCCUAGCUUGAUACAACACCAGGUUUAGAAACUUCAGAAGAGAGACUCCAUCCAUUUCAGUAUUUAAAAAAAGAAAUAAAUCCCAGGCAAGUACUCUGAUUGAUUAGGCUGGGGUCACGUGAAUUUUCUCUAGGGCAAUCACCAGGGAAAGGAGGAUGGAAUAUUAUGAUUGGUCAACCUUGGGUCUCUUGCCUGGUGGGAGGCUCAACCGUUUCCUGUGAUUGGCAGCCCUUGCAAAAGCCCUUGAUUGCAGUGGAGGAGGGGCAGUUCCCCAAAAGGAAAGAACCCAGGAGGGGUGUUGUUAUCAGAAGACAAGGAGAAUUUGGUACUGGCAGGAAAAACAAAAAGCCAAAUGUCUGGAGACUAGUGCAUAAAUACUCCGUCAGCAUGAGACUGGAGUGUGAGUCCCAGGACAGCCUGGAGGAGCCUGUAACAAGCUUGAAAUGAUUUUAAGGUCUCAGUUUUAUCUUUUUAAAUCUGUGCUCACUUUAACAGAAAAGCAAUGCUUUAAAAUUUUCACUACUGAAUUAAACCUGUCCCUAAGAAAUCUUGCCAUAUUUGGGGGAGGAGGGGCUGUUGCACCCCUUGAAACCCUGUUAUACCCUUAAAAGUAUGCAAAGGCCACGAGGAGAAGCAAGACUUGACCUUGACAGUUUCCUCCAGGCUAUCUUCUAACUACUCUGGUGACAGAUAGCAUCCAUUCCUGUCUGUGCUGUAUUCAUGCUAUGCUCCCCCUUCCUGGAUUGUUCUCCCCUGUCCUCUCAAGUCCCACAUCCUUGUAUUGGGUCGCUCCCUUUGUCCUUUAGACCCAGUGUAUUAUACUGGAAAGAGCCCUGAAGACCAAGGGUCACUUUCUAUGGUUGCCCUCAAUUCUCUGCAUGACUUCUCUCUGUGAGUUAUUUCCUCUCUGUAACUCCAUUUCCUCUUCUGUAAAAUGAGAGUCGGAUUGAUCUGUUAGCAAAGGGAAGCUCUCCCUCCCUCCCUCCCUGCCUCCCCCACCCCCAGCCUCUCUUGGAAUACUCCCAACUAGGAGGAGUGCACUCUGCACUGACCAAAUUCUAGAAAUUUUUAUUGAUUCAGAAAUUCAGGAGCUGGAUCUUUUUUUUCACUGGUAAAUGAGAAGGGUUAAGAUCAGUGCUCAAAUCGGGGGAUUUCUCUCUUUCUCAGGCCUGGAAAUGAGAUCUGUCCUUUAGGAAAGGGUCCCACCCAUACUCUACCCCUGUUUCACACACUUUGUUUACCAGUAACCAGAUUGAGGCCUAGGGGAGAGGAGGCCACUUGGAUCACUGAGCUUAGAAAAGCAAGUUUUCUGUGUGAUCAGACAUGGCUCAGAAGAAGGUCAAAGCCCCAGCUGAUUCCUGCUCAGUACCAGGUGGCAGACAGAGGAAGGAAUUCCACUGUUCAAGGCCUCUCUGGCUCAGGAUUGCCUUAACCCUUGCUUCUCUCCCAUCCUUCUCCCUUCCCACAAGUUAAGGAGUACAGAGCUAGGUACCAAGUCAAUAUGCUCUAAUAUAAUGUGAUAAGGAAAAAUGCUUUUGAAAAACUUAAAAGAGAAGCGUACACAUUUCAGCAAAAGGACAAGUUGAGCUGUAGUUAUUUAUUGCUAAGCAGAAUGAGGGCAUAUAGCAUCAAGACACAGGAAGAAUGGUCUGAAUUUUUUUUUUUUUUUUUUUUUUUUGGUGCUGGGGAUUGAACUCAGGGCCUUGUGCAUGUGAGGCACACACUCUACCAACUGAGCUAUAGCCCCAGCCCCUGAAUAUCUCUUUAUAAUUGAAUAGUUUUGCCUCACGAGUGCGACUUCAGCUUUAAGGAGUAUGACAGAUAUAUUUUGAAAAUAAUGUCUAGUGAUAUGGACUUGCUAGAGUAGGAAUGAUUCUUUGGGGGAAAACAGUUCCCCCAGAGUGAUUUUAGAAGGCUGGGGGGAACCCUAGUUCCUCUUCUAAUGUGGUGCAAUUGAGGGAUAUUAAAACCUUUGGUAGGUGCCUUGUCAGAUCAUGGGCUGGGUAUGUUACCAAAUAGUUCUGUCUCAUCUCUUACCAGAGCAAGGACUGCUUAAAAUGGGCAGGUGGGGCGGGGGCAAGUUCACAUGUGCCCUCCAACCCAAUUUAAUGGAGCUUGACAUAAUUUGUGGGGAAAUGCAGGGGGCAUGCAGGUGUGUACCAAACUGGUAAGUGUGUCAUGAGACCUUGGGCAAGUAUCCAAGCACCGCCUUCCUGAAUUGCUCCUAGAGGAAAAGGAGCCUGUUUCAACUUUCUUUACUUCUUAAAGUGUUCCUUUGAUUAGACAGGAGAUAGCAGUCUGUUUAGCAAUAUUACUAUUAUUAUUCUGUCAUGGUUAUAUUUUUAAAGUAGACUUUUUCUUUUGCCAAGAGCAAAUGGAAAGACACAUUUGUACUUGUAAAUCCAACUGAAGCUUUGCAAGGUUUUCCAAGAUAGGUUGAAAAUGUAUUCUAGGUUCACUGAUGCUCAAACAGGAAUUUUCCCCCAUCCCCAGGUCAAGGAUUCAGACUUCUUAAGAGAACUUAAAUACAAACUCUUUUUAAAAAUAAAAUAAGCUUUAUUAUUGCUAUAGAAGUAACACAUUUUGUUUAUAUAAGAAUUACUUGGAAAAUACAUAAAAGUAUAAAAAGAAAAACAAGCAUCAUUUAUGAUACUAGAAACUCAGGCAUAACUGCUGUUCACAUUUUGUUAUAUUUCUUCCCAGCCUUUUUUCCAUAGAGAGAUACAAAACUAUGCAUGCAAAAUGUCCCCAAUAUAUACUUAUAUUACAUAUUCAGGAACAUAUUGCAAAAAUAAUUCUGCACCUUACUUUUAGUAUGAAAGCAAUCCACAGAUAACUACUACUAGAUUUAUUUUUUGUUUCUGCCCUCCAUCCUUUUGCCUGUAUAUUGAUACAAAACUAUGCAUGCAAGAUGUUCCCAAUAUAUUCAUAGUGAAUAUUAGGAACACAUCGCAAAAACAGUUUAGCAUCUUUCUUUGAUCUCUUAUAGUGCUACAAUUCAGAGGUAACCACCUUCAAACUUUAGGUUUACUUCUUCCUGGCCUUUUUUCCAUAUUAUUGAUACAAAACUACAAAUGCAAAAUGUUCCCAAUACAUUCUUAUUACAUAUUAGGAACACAUCGCAAAAAUAGUUCAGCAUCUUUCUUUUCCCCCAUGCUAGGGAUUGAACUCAGGGCCUCACACAUGAACUCUACCACUGAGCUACAAUCUCAGCCCCUCACAUCUUUCUUUGAUCACACAUUAGAUCAUAACUCAGAGAUAACCACUAUGAAGUGUUGAUGUAUUUCCCCCUAGCCUUUUAUCUGGAGAUUGAUACAAAACUAUGAAGAUAGAAUGCUCUGUAUGUAUUAUAUUUCAGAGAAGGGAAAAAACAAAAAAAGUGUUUCUUUUAUCACUAAACAUUUUACCAUACUUCUUUUUUUUUUUUUUUUUUGGUGGUGCUGGGGAUUGAACCCAGGGCCUUGUGUACAUGUGAGGCAAGCACUCUACCAACUGAGCUAUAUCUACAGCCCGUGAGUACAUUUUUAUGUCACAAAAGUUAUUUUUGGAAAUAUUAGUUUAGAUGAAAGCACCCUAUUCCAUUGUAUUAAAUACACUGUAUUUUAUUUAGUCAAUCCUCUGUUGUUGGCCAUUCAGGAUGGUCUCAAUUUCCAUCCUUAAAAAUACUGAAAUGAAAAUAUUUUUCUGGUUUUAUGACUUUCUGUUCAUGCAGUUUCAUGUUUUUCUUGGCUACUUGUAUGGAGUCAACACAUUAAAGAUGACCUUGUGUCUAUAAUGCUUACA